rnacentral:rRNA from 1 species
AUUGAACGCUGGCGGCAGGCCUAACACAUGCAAGUCGAGCGGAUGAAGGGAGCUUGCUCCUGGAUUCAGCGGCGGACGGGUGAGUAAUGCCUAGGAAUCUGCCUGGUAGUGGGGGAUAACGUCCGGAAACGGGCGCUAAUACCGCAUACGUCCUGAGGGAGAAAGUGGGGGAUCUUCGGACCUCACGCUAUCAGAUGAGCCUAGGUCGGAUUAGCUAGUUGGUGGGGUAAAGGCCUACCAAGGCGACGAUCCGUAACUGGUCUGAGAGGAUGAUCAGUCACACUGGAACUGAGACACGGGCCAGACUCCUACGGGAGGCAGCAGUGGGGAAUAGUGGACAAUGGGCGAAAGCCUGAUCCAGCCAUGCCGCGUGUGUGAAGAAGGUCUUCGGAUUGUAAAGCACUUUAAGUUGGGAGGAAGGGCAGUAAGUUAAUACCUUGCUGUUGACGUUACCAACAGAAUAAGCACCGGCUAACUUCGUG